GAAGCCUUGAGAGGGGGCAGUGCACUUCGCACAGCUGUGCCCCAGGCGGAAGCUCUGGACGUCUCUGGCUGUCUCUGUUUUGUGAGGGAGUAAAGGACCUGUGCUCUGAACAUGUGGGAGCUUAAUUCCUCUACUUCUCAAGGAAGAAGCCCACCAACCUGCGUUAGGAGAGAGGAAGGAUUUGUCCUCACCCAGCAACAUGUCCAGACAAUAAGAAAAGAGUGCAACCGAGUCAAUCAGAAGUCAUCACCUCCUGAAUUAUCACUUCUUUCCAAUGGACUUGUGUACAAAAAGUAGCGCCUCUCAGUUUUCUCCUUUUCUCUAUAAAGUAACGUUCCUUUCUUUCGAUCUCUGGACUUGCCUAUGGUUUGCCAUAGCUUGUGUGUUCCGAAUUGCAAUACUGCUAUUCCUAAA